rnacentral:pre_miRNA from 1 species
ACCAUACUCCCUCCGUCCGAAAAUACUUGUCACAAAAAUGAAUAGAAAUGGAUAUAUCUAGAACUAAAAUACAUCUAAAUACAUUCAUUUCUCCGACAAGUAAUUUCGGACGGAGGGAGUAUAUA